rnacentral:lncRNA from 1 species
AUGGACGGACUUACAUGCUCGACGCCUUUGGAAAUUUGGUCGUUGUAAGAGACGUGCUCGUUGUAUGAAGAGGUCAUGCCGUUGACAUGUUACCUUCCUUUUGGGAAUUUCUUUUUGAGGUGACGUCAUCGAUCACACGCGUGAUCAUUACUUCUGCUCCCGAGGUGGUUCAGUUUAUGACGUGACGUUUGGGUUUACUGCGUCGAUUUUUUGAAUCAUGUCCUUUCGAUUUCCGUGUACCUUUUCUUAUAAAUAGGUGGAGAGUUGGACUAAGUUCAUGUUUCGAUCCUUUUCGGAGAGUAUUUCCUCACUCUUUUCCCUAUCUUUUUCUGGUGUUUGCUAUUCUUUUCUUCUAUGAAAUUCUCAUUCUCAGGAAUCGAACUUGCGACCCGUAAUACCUUUUUCUUACAUCAUUCACUAUGCUUAUAUAUCACGUUCGUACCGCUAUUGUUUUCUUCUCUGAAAUUCCCUUUUUCUGGAAUCGAACUUGCGACCUGUAAUACCUUUUUCUUACAUAAUUCACUAUGGCUAAACGUAGGCGUGAUGAUACCAGAACCAGGGACGUCGCUUCCACCAGGGCCUCGUCAUCCUCGGACGACGAGGAGGUUGAGGAGGUUUUUUGUUGCUCUUUCAACGGCCAACCUGCUCCCACGCGAUAUGAGCAAAAGGAGCGAUUUUCUGAAUAAGCGUAAAGUCUGCCUUUGGGAGCAUAGUGAGAUGACGCUGUCCCACUUGGCCGCUCUUAGGGAGACGUAUGAUAUUCCUGACCAUGUUGACAUGGUUCCUGUGGGGCUAGAUUAUGCUAACGUGCAUAGGACCGGGUAUUGUGCCUUCUACGAAUACGCCUUCCGAAUUGGAUACACCCUUCCAAUUUACCCUUUAGCGGAAGAGUUGUGUCGCUGGUUCAAAGUGUGUCCGGCCCAUCUUACCCCGUACGCCUUGAAGGUGUGCAGGGUAGUAUCUGUUUAUGCGGCGAAGGCCGGAAAGGAGGUGACCGUUCAUCACUUUUUGCACAUGUUCAAUGUGGUUUUCAUGAGAGGCUCGAUGCUCCAGUUGAGGAGUAGGGGCAGAAAAAGCUUCGUGGCGCAGGUGGACGACAAGGCCAAUCGUAAAUUUUGGACGAGGUUCUUCUACGUCCGUACCGAACACCUUGUGUCCAACCCUGAUGGCUUUCCAGAAGUGUGGAAUGACGCACGUAAGCAUUGUCGUGCGUGAUGUUUACUAAUUUGACCUUACUUUGCUGGUUCUCACUAUUGAAAGUUUUCCUUUGUUUUCAUGCAGUGGCUACUCGCUUUCCUCGUAGUGUUGACAACAUUAGGUCGUGGGUGCAAGCGUUGAUACCAUUUGCAAGCACCUUGUGCCCAACCCUAAUGCGUUUCCAGAAGUGUGGAAUGACG